AAAUUUUAAUGUAAACUUAAAUGUUAAUCUGCAGAGGUACAGCUCUACAGAAUAAGAUUACAAUCUUAAUUAGAGAGUAAAUUUAUAUAAUAACCAUAGUUGGCCUAAAAGCAGCCACCAAUUAAGAAAGCGUUCAAGCUCAACAACAAAAUUUAUUCUUAAUUCAAAAAAUAGUAUAAACUCCUAAUUUAAACACUGGAUUAUUCUACUAGCCUGUAGAAGAAAUACUGUUAAUAUGAGUAACAAGAUUUAUAUCUCCAAACACACAUGUAUGUCAGCCCGAAUCCCAACUGACAGUUAACAAUUUGAUAAAUGUAUAUAUUAAUUAAUAAUUUUCCAUUAUAUUGUUAAUCCAACACUGGGGUGUACAUAAGGAAAGAUUAAAAAAAGUAAAAGGAACUCGGCAAACAUAAACCCCGCCUGUUUACCAAAAACAUCACCUCUAGCAUUACCAGUAUUAGAGGCACUGCCUGCCCAGUGACAUUAGUUAAACGGCCGCGGUAUCCUGACCGUGCAAAGGUAGCAUAAUCAUUUGUUCCUUAAUUAGGGACUUGUAUGAAUGGCCCCACGAGGGUUUAACUGUCUCUUACUUUUAAUCAGUGAAAUUGACCUUCCCGUGAAGAGGCGGGAAUACAAAAAUAAGACGAGAAGACCCUAUGGAGCUUAAAUUAAUAUGUUCAACAGAAUUUAAUUACAGUCCAAUAGGAAUAAAAAUAUUCUAACUGAACAAUAAAUUUUGGUUGGGGUGACCUCGGAGUAUAACACAACCUCCGAGCAAUUAAACCAAGACUUACCAGUCAAGGCCAUAUAACUUAUUGAUCCAAUCUUAUUGAUCAACGAAACAAGUUACCCUAGGGAUAACAGCGCAAUCCUAUUUAAGAGUUCAUAUCGACAAUAGGGUUUACGACCUCGAUGUUGGAUCAGGACACCCAAAUGGUGCAGCAGCUAUUAAAGGUUCGUUU
rnacentral:rRNA from 1 species